UACAGAGGUCUCGAGCGUUGUUCGGAUUCAUUGGGCGUAAAGGGCGCGUAGGCGGCGCUGUAAGUCAGGCGUGAAAUUUCGGAGCUUAACUGCGAAACUGCAUUUGAUACUGCGGUGCUUGAGGACUGGAGAGGAGACUGGAAUUUACGGUGUAGCAGUGAAAUGCGUAGAGAUCGUAAGGAAGACCAGUGGCGAAGGCGGGUCUCUGGACAGUUCCUGACACUGAGGCACGAAGGCCAGGGGAGCAAACGGG
rnacentral:rRNA from 1 species